GUGGUAAGGAACAGAGUAUAAAAUAAAAACAAAAAGACACAAAAGAGUCUUUUAUGUUUUAAAAGAAAAAACAAGCACCAUUUAGGUUGCUGUAAUACCAUGAAAAAAAUGGUAAGGCGUGCUGCAAUAAUAUCAGUAGAAAAUGUGCUUAAAAAAAAAAAUUAAAAAGUGCAUUAAAUUAUGUUAUGGUAUUUGAAAUGGCCAACAUAUACCAUAUAUAUAUAUGCAAAAGGAUAAAAAAAAGAGUCCUUCUUGUUAAAAAAAAAGUGGUCGAGAAAUCGACAAAAUUAAAAAAUAAAUAUAACAAAUAUUUAUUGUGGGCGUUUUUUCGAGGCCUAAAACAUCGAAAAGUCGCGGUAGUGAAAAAAAAGACCUAUCGUGACAAAUUAAAAAAAAAAACACAAUAAUAAAAAAGUUUUUGGUGGUCGUGAAAACGACAAUUCAAAAGAUAUGGCAACCAGAAAAUAAGAAUAAAACAAUUUUCUGGGGUCGAGAAAUCGACUAAGAUAUUGUGUGGAAGUUACCCAGCCCUUGACGGAGAAAAGGAGAAGGAGGGACGACCUCACGGCAGCAACUACAAAUAAGUCUGCAACAACAACGACGGCCGCAGCGACGAUACAGAAACAGGCGGCAUCAGGAAAUCAUCCUACAACAAACAACGGCGGCAGCGACGACAGCAGCAGCAAAAAACAACAACAUCAAAAUUAAAGACGACGGCGGCGCGGCAGAAGCGGAAAAAGCAGCAGAAUUAGGAGUUACUUAACUCAAUAUUCCCCCGGCAGGACCUCACUUCGGAGGUAUUUAUAAAGCUGGAGUUAACGUCAUAAAAU